GGCUUGAUGGUCUAGAGGUAUGAUUCCUUCUUAGGGCGUAAGCAACACUAUUUGGAGGAGGUCCCGGGUUCGACUCCCGGUCAAGCCC